AUUUUUCUUUAAUGCAUAAGAAAGGCACUCCAUAAACCCCAACCCAGUUGAGUGAAUCACCAACGUCAGCUACCGUUAAUCUAUCUUUCGUCUCUUCGAUUCUUCCAUUUCAUAUAAUCAAAACUUUCUCGGAAAAUUGCAUCAUCUGAAUCUCAAUUGAAUCGGUUUCUCAUGUCUUCUUCAAACCAACAACAGUUUCGGUACACUCAAACUCCUUCAAAGGUUCUUCACUUUCGUAACCUUCCAUGGGAGUGUACAGAUGAUGAACUCAUUGAUAUUUGUAGUCCGUUUGGUAAAGUUGUCAACACUAAGUGUAAUGUUGGCGCCAAUCGGAAUCAAGCUUUUGUUGAAUUCGCAGAUUUAAAUCAAGCAAUUUCAAUGGUUUCAUAUUAUGCUUCAUCUUCCGAGCCUGCUCAGGUUCGUGGCAAGACUGUUUACAUUCAAUAUUCUAAUAGACACGAAAUUGUCAACAACAAAGGCCCUGGAGAUAUCCCUGGAAAUGUCUUGCUGGUAACAAUUGAAGGGGUUGAAGCCGGAGAUGUGAGCAUUGAUGUUAUUCACUUGGUUUUUUCUGCUUUUGGUUUUGUCCACAAAAUUGCCACAUUUGAAAAGACUGCAGGUUUUCAGGCUUUGAUUCAGUUCACUGAUGCUGAGACCGCUUCUUCGGCUAGGAAUGCACUGGAUGGGAGAAGCAUACCCAGAUACUUGCUCCCAGAGCAUGUUGGUUCUUGCAACCUGCGUAUCUCGUACUCAGCACAUCGAGACCUUAAUAUCAAAUUCCAAUCCAAUCGCAGCAGGGACUACACUAAUCCUAUGCUUCCUGUUAAUCAGACUGCUAUUGAUGGUGCAUUACAGCCUGUAAUUGGUCCUGACGGAAAGAAGAAAGAACCCGAGAGUAAUGUUCUUUUGGCAACAAUUGAAAAUAUGCAGUAUGCUGUCACCGUAGAUGUUCUUCACACGGUGUUUUCUGCAUUUGGCACUGUUCAAAAAAUUGCUAUAUUUGAAAAGAAUGGACAAACUCAGGCUCUGGUUCAAUACCCUGAUGUUACAACAGGAGCAGCAGCCAGAGAAGCUUUAGAGGGACAUUGCAUAUAUGAUGGUGGCUAUUGUAAGCUUCAUCUAACAUACUCUCGUCAUACUGAUCUCAAUGUAAAGGUAUAAAAAAAUAUGUUUGAGUUAAAUAUUCAUGAGGGAAGAAUAUGAGAAAAGGGGUGGGAUUAAAGAUACUCUUAGAAGCAGUUUGGUUUCAGCAUUUUCUUGAUCAGAAAUAAUUCUAGAGUUAUUGUACAAAAUAUAAUUGUUUUGGUUUCAGGCUUUCAGUGACAAAAGCCGAGACUAUACAGUUCUAGAUCCUAGUCUCCAUGCGACACAAGUUUCCUUGUGGCAGAAUACUCAAACCACUCCUAUGUACCCUGGUUUACAGGGACAAAUGCCAUCAUGGGAUCCAAACCAGCAGGAAUUUACGCAAAGUUGUUUAUCGGCACCCGGUACUUUGCCUCCUGGUCAAGCCGUUCCUCCGUUUCCCGGCUAUCUGCCCCCUGCCACUGGCUCACCUCUUACUCAAAGCAACCAUAUAGAUCACAAUGCAAGUUCCAUGGGAAUCACUCAGCCUGGGGUUCCUGGUGCUUUGCCUCAUGCUCAUAUGCCUCCUGGUAUUCAACCUUAUUAUGGUUAGGAAGUUAUAUUUCAAUAUUUCAUCUGAAAUAACAUUCCUUGUCCCUCAGUUUCAAUUUCUAAUAUCUCACGUAUGACACCUUUUGUCCUAACUACCCACUAUUUUCGGGUAUUAUCUAAAUUUAUUACAGGGCUUUUUAUGUUGUACUUAUUAAUCUGUUUUAUUUUCUUUAUUUCUUCAUGUCAGCCACCCUUAUGUGGUGCAAAGGCAUGCAGUAGUAGCUAAAUAUUUCCAUUUUAUUUUGUUUGA